CUCGAACUACUGCUAGUGAUGGUGAUUCUUCGACACAGUAUUCGGCGAGUUUUGGGCUUCAUCAUGCGGUGCUCGACAUGGUGACGAAGCCUGAACUUGCCAAAGACUGUCGAAGAAUCGCAGUCACUAGUUGUAAUUUGACUC
rnacentral:ncRNA from 3 species